CAGUUUAAUCCUAGAGCUCGAUCAAGAAACUCCUCUGGUACUAAGCUCUAAAUUCCCAGUGUUUUUUAAUGUUUUUUAAUCAAAAUUAAAACGUUUCGGCUAGUUUUAAGCAUAAAGUGAAAUAGAUUUUAAGUAUAAAACUUACACUACACGUUAGGUUACGAAUACAGUUAAUGGCUCGACUCAGCACUGGCCAGGAUAUACGAUGAUAAGUCAACAUAUGUAUGCUACCUUGUUAGAUACUCUAGUUUUUGAGGCGCUUAAGCAUUUAAAUGGGGAUCGAGAAGGGGUCCACGUCUGGCGUGACCUUUGUAUGCUUUUGUAAAAUUACACUAAAAUCUCUCCUCCCUGUUGAUCUUCAGAUUUUCUUCACAUGGCUCUGGUAAGAAUAUUUAGAAUACUCUUGGAUAAUCUCGCUUUUGUUAACACACGUAUACCUAUUCUUGGAUUGGAUUCUUCUGCGACAUUCGUUCUAUACUCCUUGAGAACUUUCAAACGUGAGGACUUCAACAUUCUGACUCUUCUGGAAAUACCGGCAAAAACACAUUAUUUACCCAAGGGAACCAAUUGGCGAUUGAUAAAAAUGUUUACGACAAUAAUAAUAAAUGUACACUUAAAACAGAUCUUAAAUU